GAUGAACGCUGGCGGCGUGCCUAAUACAUGCAAGUCGAGCGAACAGAUAAGGAGCUUGCUCCUUUGACGUUAGCGGCGGACGGGUGAGUAACACGUGGGUAACCUACCUAUAAGACUGGGAUAACUUCGGGAAACCGGUGCUAAUACCGCAUAACAUUUGGAACCGCAUGGUUUUAGAGUGAAAGAUGGUUUUGCUAUCACUAAUAGUUGUACCCGGGCCGAUUUGGCAGUUUGGGAAGGAAACGGCUUACCAAGGCAACGUAACGAAGCCGACCUGGGAGGGUGUUGGGCAAAUCUGGAACUGGGACACGGCCCAGACUCCUACGGGAGGCACCAGUAGGGAAUUUUCGGAAAUGGGCGAAGGCCUGACGGAGCAACGCCGGGUGAUUAAUGAGGGGUUUCGGCUCGUAAACCUCUGUUAUUAGGGAGGAACUAACGUGUAAGGAAAUGUGCACGUCGUGACGGUACCUAAUCAGAAAGCCACGGCUAACUACGUG
rnacentral:rRNA from 1 species